GAAUGGACCGCCUCCUCUCC
rnacentral:siRNA from 1 species